UCGGACGUGGUGUAUGGUACGCGGCGAGGCUCUCUGAGCAGCCUCGGUUAUAAUCUACACCUCGCAGAACGGGGUUCGACUCCCCGCGUCCGAA